AUUGAACGCUGGCGGCAUGCCUUACACAUGCAAGUCGAACGGCAGCACGGGAGCAAUCCUGGUGGCGAGUGGCGAACGGGUGAGUAAAGUAUCGGAACGUGCCCAGUCGUGGGGGAUAACGUAGCGAAAGUUACGCUAAUACCGCAUACGAUCUAUGGAUGAAAGCGGGGGAUCGCAAGACCUCGCGCGAUUGGAGCGGCCGAUAUCAGAUUAGGUAGUUGGUGGGGUAAAGGCUCACCAAGCCGACGAUCUGUAGCUGGUCUGAGAGGACGACCAGCCACACUGGGACUGAGACACGGUCCAGACUCCUACGGGAGGCAGCAGUGGGGAAUUUUGGACAAUGGGCGAAAGCCUGAUCCAGCCAUUCCGCGUGCAGGAUGAAGGCCCUCGGGUUGUAAACUGCUUUUGUACAGAACGAAAAGGUUUCUACUAAUACUAGGAGCUCAUGACGGUACUGUAAGAAUUAGCACCGGCUAACUACGUGCCAGCCGCCGCAGUAA
rnacentral:rRNA from 1 species